UAUCAGAAACUCAAAAGUGAAGUUUUUGAUCAAUUAGGUGCUGCAAAAAAUAUCGUUCUUACAACCGAUUUGUAUAGCUCUCUAUUUAAAUUGUUAAUUAAGAUGUAAUAAAUUCAGGUAUUGAAUUAAAAUCUGUGGAUAUUGGGGCGAGGCAUAUUGUUGGCAAAUAACUAUCUCUAAUUUAGAAUUUGCCAUAAAUGAAAUAUGUAAGUCAUGGAACAUCAAGCAAGAUAAUGUGGCGGCUGUAGUAACGGAUAAUGGUCCAAAUAUUGUAGGGGCAUGUCGUUCCGUUUUUGGAGCAGACAAGCAUAAACGUUGCUCAACCUAGUGGCUAUAAAAUCAAUCGAUUUUUAUACGCCAAACAUAGAGGCUGAAUUGCCGGUUAUGGAAAAUUCUGAUGAAGAUGAAAUAAGUGAUGAAACUGGGCAUUCACAAUUAAAAUCAAUUAUAAAUAAAAUUAAAAAAAUUGUUUGCUUUUUCAAGAAAAGCGAGGCAGCAAGCACAUACUUGAAUGACCUUCAAAAAGAAAGUGGCAAGCAACCAAAAAGGCUUAUCCAGGAAAUUAAAACACGCUGGAACUCGUUGUAUGAGAUGGUGGAACGGUAUUUGGAGUCCGAAAACUAAUUUCUGAAAAAACAUGCAAGCCACCUAACGAUAUAUCGCUGGACGAAAUAGAUAGUUUAGUUGAAAUAAAGGAACUUUUAAAACCUUUAUUUCUCGUAACAAAAGAAUUAUGUUCUGAAAAAAACGUAACAGCGAGCAAAGUAAUUCCUUUACUUAAAUUGCUGAAAAACGUAAGUUUAUUGCAUCAAUGAUCAUAUUUUUCAAAAUUCUAUUUAUAAAUCAUAUAUUAAUAAUCAUUUUUCAGAGGUUUAUUUCUUAAUAUAUUCUAAUUUUUAGUAAUAUAAACUUUUAACAAAUUAAAAAACUCAUAAAAAUAUUAAUUUUCUUAACAGAAUAUUGAAAAUAUAUUGCCAAUAGGGGCAGCAUUUGACUUGCGAAGAAAACUUCUACUCAAUCUUAAUGAUAGAUUUUCAAAAGUUGAGGAGCACCCAAUACUUAGCGUUCCCACUUUGUUGGAUCCUCGUUAUAAAAAAAUUCACUUUCACCAAGAAAGUAAUGUUGAAGCGGCGAUUGGUAGAAUAGCAAAAUAUUUAGAAAAAAUCAAUCAAACUUCAAAUGAUGACCAUCCUCCCCCUCUCCCAAAAGAUCACGUGAUUCUAAUUGUUUAUGGCAAAUACACGACGAUCUAGUGGAUUCUCAAAAUGAGACGAUAAUUGUGAAUGAGGAUAAUGGUAUUCCUUUUGAAUUGGCGCAAUAUUUAAAACGCCCAGUAUGCCCUAGACAUACUAAUCCAAUCGAAGAGUGGGAACAGUACAAACAAGUUUACCCAAACUUGUACAGCUACAUCAGCUACAUCAGUCCCGUGCGAAAGAUUGUUUUCGAAAGCUGGGUUAAUUAUAACCCAGCGAAGAAACAGACUGUCCUCAGAAAAUCUGGAUCAACAAUUAUUUUUACAAAAUAUAUCGGAAGAAGACUGGUUUAAGAAAUAGAAAAGGAUUUUUAUAUGUUAUUAGCCAUUGAUACGGGGAUAAAAGUAUAAUCAAACAAAAAACACAAAGUAUAA